GGCUCCAUAGCUCAGGGGAUAGAGCACCGCUCUCCUAAAGCGGGUGUCGCAGGUUCGAAUCCUGCUGGGGCCG
rfam:Nocardiopsis sp. CNR-923 NODE_40_length_46071_cov_174.331_ID_73, whole genome shotgun sequence.